rnacentral:rRNA from 1 species
AUACGGAGGGUGCAAGCGUUACUCGGAAUCACUGGUCGUAAAGCGCGCGCAGGCGGUCUUAUAAGUUGGAUGUGAAAGCCUACGGCUCAACCGUAGAACUGCAUCCAAAACUAUUAGACUAGAGUGUGGGAGAGGAAGAUGGAAUUAGUUGUGUAGGGGUAAAAUCCGUAGAGAUAACUAGGAAUACCAAAAGCGAAGGCAAUCUUCUGGAACACUACUGACGCUGAGGCGCGAAAGCGUGGGGAGCAAACAGGAUUAGAAACCCUAGUAGUCC